rnacentral:rRNA from 1 species
AUUGAACGCUGGCGGCAGGCCUAACACAUGCAAGUCGAGCGAGCGGCAGACGUGUGAGUUAUGCCUGGGACUUGCCAAGUCGAGGGGGAUAACCGUUAGAAACGCGCGCUAAUAGCGCAUCCGAUGUGCUUCCCCCGGUGGGAUUAGAUCGUUGGUUAGGUAAUGGCUCCCCAAGGCGACGCUCCCUAGCUGGUCUGAGAGGAUGAUCGGCCACACUGGAACUGAGACACGGUCCAUACUCCUACGGGAGGCAGCAGUGGGGAAUAUUGCACAAUGGGGGAAACCCUGAUGCAGCCAUGCCGCGUGUGUGAAGAAGGCCUUCGGGUUGUAAAGCACUUUCAGCGGGGAGGCGUUACUCGCAGAAGAAGCACCGGCUAACUCCGUGCCAGCAGCCGCGGUAAUAC